CACUUUCUUACAAGUGGGACCAGAUUAUAAGAGCAAAUAUUUUACACACACACCCCUUGAUCUAAACCACAAAAGCAAUCAGCCCCCCCACAUCCCGAGCAGAGACGCGCUGGGCGUCGGGUUCCUGGCCUCCACCGCGCUGCUUGGCCAGGGACGCCGGAGCGACGCGCUGGGCGGAGCGGCCGGCCAUCUCCGCAACCACGAGGGCCAGCAGUGCACGGAGGGGCGGCUGCGCGCCAGUUGCCGGCGGAGAGGCUCUUGUCGCCGGAGGCGACGGAAGACGGCGGCGGCCGGCAGGACGACGUGCGGGAGGCGGCGCCGCCGCCGCCCCGCAGGUUCCGCGGUGGCUGCGUGUCGACCACGGAGUUCAACGUUUCCACGCACAAAAGCUCGCCGGCGCCAAGUUCUUCCGCAAGGAGCUCGUUUCCUCCUCCUCCCCCUCGCUCCCUGGCGUCGGCGCCGGCCUCCCAAUCCCCGCUCCUUGGCCCGCGUUGGCGUGGUGACUGGUGAGGGAGGGCCCCUUGCCGCGGCCGGAGCUCAAGCCGCCGCCGCCCUUGCUGCUCACCUGCAUCGGCGCCGGCUAGGUGACGGGGAGGCACACCGGAUGGACGCGAGUAGCUAUGCCCGCCGCACGGCGCGAGCAGGAGUGGCGUCGGCCACGCUCACCGUCCAUCCCGUCCUCACGCCACGUUUCCCCCGGCUCUCAGUGGUGGCAGCCCGGAGAGGAAGUGGCCGGCGGCGUCCACCGCCGGACCAGUGGGAGGCGUUCAGAGCGGGAGCUGGGGAUCAAAUCGAUCGGGAGCAGGGGAUCAGAUCAAGAACAGGGGCUUGAUUGCUUUUUGUUUUUAGAUCCAGGGAUGUGUAUGUAAUUUGUUUGACAAGUCAGCUUCUUAGAGUCCGGUCCCACCUGUCAGAAAAUGAUUAAAUGGGCUAAAUCACCUGAUCAGUGCAUUUUGCAGAAGGUUUACUAGAAACGCGGUGAUUUUUGCACAAAAUUAGUGACUAGGUGGUUUUCUUCAAUCGAUGCCUUAAAUGUGGUGGUUUUCUGCAAUUAACUCCUGCAUUUGAUGUUCAGUAAUAGGUACUUACACAUUCAAAAAAAUUAUCUUAUCUGUAAGGCCUUCACUCAGAGUUGCUUCUGUUAGAAUGAUGAUUAUAUUGUUAAAUCAUCCAGAUAGUUCAUGUUAUUCAUCAUAGCUAAUUUCAAUAUUUCUAGGCUCUGUUUUCUGCUUUAUGUUCUGUUUUUUCCUGUGUGUGAAUGUCUGCACCUGUUGUUUUACUAAUAAGUUUAUAUAAUUGUACAACAGUUUCUUACACAUGCAAAUUUAUUGAAGCAAUACACUCUUACAAAAUCUGAAGUAAUAUGCUAUACUGGGCUUAGAUUGCAGAUGUCAUGACUGUACAAGUAGUAUUGUGGACCUGGUAUUGGAAACACCUGGAAAGCCUGAAUACUUAUUUGCAUAUUCAGUUCUAUUUCUGAUGACAAAUGGGGCUAAACCUUUUUUUUUGUCCUGAAAUACCUUUAGGGCUUUUCUAGUGACUUACUUGCGUAUUCAGUUUUUUCGUAUUGUUUGUUUAGCGAGUAAAAUUGGAUGCAUCGUUUAGAACAGGAAUUUUAAUUCCUAAUUUCUUUUCAGGUCACCUCCGCUGGCAGAUAUAACAUUCCGUAAUUUUGUACUGUACACAAAAAACGAAAAAUGGGGUGCUUUGGGCAGCUAAGGCUCUUAAAUUUGGUCAUAGAUGGACUGUAGGAAAAGGGACCAAGAUCAGGUUUUGGGAGGACAAUUGGUUUGGCGCCUCCCCUUUAUCUGUUCAAUUUUGGCCUCUAUAUUCUAUUUGUCACCAACAGUGUGUGCCUGUAGCUGAUGUUUGGGAUGGUCAAAACGUCAAACUUACUUUUCGUAGGAUCUUUAACCCUGCCAUGAUGGAAGAUCGGUACUGCCUAGAGCAGAUCAUCUUGGGAAUUACCUAUACUGAUUGUGAAGAUGCUCUCAUUUGGCAAUAUGAAGCUAAAGGCAAAUAUACUACUGGUUCCCUCUACAGUAUUAUUAACUUUAGAGGGGUUAAACCUAUCUUUAUUCCCUCAAUUUGGUCUAUUGUGGUGCCCCCAAGAGUGCAGGUUUUCUUAUGGCUUUUAUCCCACAAUAAACUUAUGACAAAAGACAAUCUCAGUAAGAGGGGGAUUGAAAACCCUCCUGAGUGUGUCUUCUGUUCAGAACAAGAAACUAUUACACAACUUUUCUUUGAUUGUGUGGUCGCUAAAAACAUGUGGCAACACAUCUCCAAUUUCUUUGGAAUUAGUCUGGGAGAUGACUUCCUUUCAAUUGCCAGAUACUGGCCUGCUAGUAAGAAUCACGCUGCUAUUAAUUCUGUCUGUGCAUGUGCUUUAUGGAGUAUAUGGAAGAUUGGAAAUACCCAUAUCUUCAAAAAUGCCAUGUGGACUGACAUGAAUAGAGUUUGGUGUAUGAUAGAGGUGACUAUCAGGCGGUGGAUGAUCCUUUUCAAAAAACAUCAUUUGGAGGGGGUGAAAAAAAAUCUCCAAUAUGAUAAAUCAGCUCAUACAAAGUUACUAACCCCCUUCAGGCUGGGGGUGGGCUGAUCUAGUGACGCAGCUGGGCAAUGCAUAGGGGCUGGAGAGGUCAAUGCUCAACAAGCUGUCGCUGGUUUCAAAACCUGCAGAUGGCAAGGAACCUUCCUCUCCUCCCAGAAGAGAUUGGAACCUCAAGCAUGUGGUGUCCAGCCCAACUACGCCGCUAGAUCUUACUGCUUCUCCAACACAAUCCCCUCUGAAGAAGAAGAAGGGGGCUGAAACAGUCUGGAAAUGAAGAUGGAUUUCGGCUAUGAACCUAACUCCAUUCCAAUCGUUUCCUUGAUUGUCAUCUUUCUUGUUUUUAAUUUAGCUUUAGUUUUUGCUUUUCAAUCUGCUCAGGCUGUGGCCUUAUGAGCUGUAAUAAUCAGUAGAACUUUGCUAGAUGUUUUUAGUUUUCCCUUUGGACGCGCUGUAGGUGCUUUUGUUCUCUCUAUCUCUGGUUUCGUUAAAGCAAUGGAACCGCGGGGGAGGGGGGGCUUUGGCCCUCCUAGUAGUCUAAAAAAACGAAAAAUGGCAGGUAUUCUUGCUAGAUUAAAGUUGCACUUGAACUUGUAAAAUCAUUGUUUUCAGCCACUUGAUUGAAAUAUCAUUUAUAUAGGUUGUAAAUUUGAAAGAAGCAAGGGAUUUCUCCAGCAGCACAGGAUUCAUUUAUGCUUUCAUCGUUUGAUACUCUCCUAGUUUAUCCGAGCAAAUAAAUGUCUUCUUGUGCUGUUACCUAAUGUACUAGGACAUAAUCAAUGAAGAAUAGUAUACAUAGUUUCUGAUCUCCCAUAUUUUUUGUUUAAAUUCACAGAAAUUGGAAUGGCAGUUACUUUCAGUUGAUCUUUUACCCAACCCUGACUUGGGGCUGUUGUUACUACUGCCGCUGGUCUUGGUGAGGCUCAUAACACAUAUUCAACAUUCAUUUCGGCUUUUGGCAACAGCCAAACAAAUGACUCAUUUCAGUCAACGGCGUGGGAUAUCAAUGUUCUCGUGGACUCUAUCAAUGAAAUUGCCACACGAACAAAUUGGACAAGUGUAAUGGAAAACCUGGACCACGAGGGUUUCAGUAUCCCUGAUGAAGGGGCUUUCCGUCUAUUGAUGUCUAUAUAUUCUCGGGCUUGCAAGGUAUUUCCAGACUUGGCUAAUCAUAUCCAAGGCAAUCAGGCUUGGUACUGCCUAGACCUUUUGGAGGUGUUAUGCCAGCUUGCUGACCUUGGCUAUGCAACAUUAGUGCGACCGCUGCUGGACUACCCACUCAGUCAUUGUCCAAACGUCUUACUUCUUGGCGUUAGCCAAAUCAAUACUGCAUACAAUCUCCUCCAUUAUGAAGUAUUGUCAUGUGUAUUCCCUGCUUUAUUGAAGGACAGUAAAAAUAGCAGUCUAAUGAACUAUCCCUGGCAUCUCAACCCUUCCCUUACUCUCCGAGGAUUUGUUGAUGCUCAUUCUGAUAUAAUUUGUCUUUUGAGAACUAUUGAUAUAUGUCAAGACCUAAAGUCAAGAUAACAAGCGAGGAGAUGAUGGUGCAAAGCAAAUGUUCUUUGGCGGUGAAAAGUUUUUGGCAGGAAUAUCAGGGGAUUCUAAUAAGCAACAGGAUCUUCCAUGGUAAACAGAGUUCCUUUGCAUUGAAGAUGCUGAGUUUUAGCCUGAACUUCUAAUGCAAUCACUGUUCUUCUCAUGGCAUUUCAGACAGGGAGAGUUAAAAAAACUUGUCUUGCAUAAAGGUUGCUGGGCUGUUUCUGAGGACAUGAUGGUAGUCCAGGAGAAGGCCUCUUGAGAGGACUGAAUGAUUUAUCUUGUGGUCCACUUGGGAAACUUUUCACACCAUCUCACGUCACUGACAAGGAAGAAGGAAGAUCCGAAGACAAUGACAGCAAUUCAACGUUUGAUCUUGGGGUGCCAGAUGAUCUUGUUGUGUCAGUUCUGUUAAGAAACUGGUUGUUCGCACUUGAAGGGACAAAAGAAGCACGGGAUUGGUCUUCCCCUCGUAGUGGUGAUCCUAUUGGUAGGGAUGAUAAAUGCUGGCAUAAACCUUCAGGAAUCUGCACGUGUCAGCCAAUAGUAGUGACCGACCUAACUUGGGAGGUGCAGAGAAGGUGCUGGAUGAAAGAACAUUUCCAGUGGAGCGAUUUACGGCUGGAAUUGAAGGUUUACAGGCAAUAAGACCUCGCUUGAGAAAUCAAUUCAUUGGAAUGGAAAAUUAAAUAAAGAUCAAUUAGGCGGUGGGAAACUGGGAAUGCAAAGUGGAUGAUGGAUAAUGUAAAGUUCUCAGUUAAAGAACCGAUUGAGGCCGUGGCAAAAAAAGAAGAGCUGGAGCACCUUUUCCAUGAUUUGCAGAUCUGAAGGUGAUGCAACGGGGAGGACCACUGUUGGAAUUCUCGGGCCCCUUAAGUUUGAUAAGUCUCUUAGCCAGGGAACCAUCAAAUAGCUGAGGAACCUAGGAACUGGAGGUAUGGACAACAUUUUUUCAACUAGCAGGCCCGGCAGGUGGAACAAUUUUCAGAACAGUGUCGGCACCCCUAGGACUCCUGGGACUCCAGUGUUUCACGCAGUCUCAAAUGCGGCGUCCAAAGAGGCCCUGGAAGCGACAAUCACCUCGCUACAGAGUGGCAUUUCUGAAUCGAAGGCCAGAUGUGCGUCCCUGCGGGGAAGAUGAGAGCCGUGCCAAGGACAUCAGGCAGCUGACCGACAAGCUGGAAAAUAUGCAGUCCCCGGUGACACGAAUCAGAGCCUUGAUCUGAGUUGUACAUUGGUUUAUUCUUUGUGUACAGGCUGGGCAUUGGUACAAAACCGGGGAGCGGCUAAUGCCAUACCUCCCUUGCGGAUUAUUUCUCUUCUGUGUGCAUCUAUUACACGUUCCUUGCAGCCUGUUUGGUAGUUUGAGGGAAAGGGAAUGGGAGUUUAUAAAAGGGAGUUUGUAAGGGAUUGGAAUUGGGAAGUGGACUAUUAGUCCUAAUCCCACAUUUGGUGCUGGUUGAGAAUUGCUUGUGGGAAUUUGAUAAGAAAUUAAUCUUUAAAUAAAUAAAUCAUAUACUCCCUCUUGUCAA